GGGGAAGCCAAACUGGGCAGUCGACGAUGAAGCUUCUAGCUUGCUAGAAGUGGAUUAGUGGCGCACGGGUGAGUAAUGCAUAGGUUAUGUGCCCUUUAGUCUGGGAUAGCCACUGGAAACGGUGAUUAAUACUGGAUACUCCCUACGGGGGAAAGGGGCUUUCAAUAAAGAAUUUCUCUUUUUAGUGUUUUGUGUUGUUGGCACAAAAUUCUAGUAUUUGGAAUGAGAAAUUGAUGUUGUGAAGCAAUUUGUGCGGAGACUAGACUUAGUGUCUGUCGCACAAGCAAAUUGCGAACUCAUCGAUUUAUCGUCCAAAGACGAAUUUUUUAUUGAAAGCCUUCGCUAAAGGAUCAGCCUAUGUCCUAUCAGCUUGUUGGUGAGGUAAUGGCUCACCAAGGCUAUGACGGGUAUCCGGCCUGAGAGGGUGAUCGGACACACUGGAACUGAGACACGGUCCAGACUCCUACGGGAGGCAGCAGUAGGGAAUAUUGCUCAAUGGGGGAAACCCUGAAGCAGCAACGCCGCGUGGAGGAUGAAGGUUUUAGGAUUGUAAACUCCUUUUGUAAGAGAAGAUUAUGACGGUAUCUUACGAAUAAGCACCGGCUAACUCCGUGCCAGCAGCCGCGGUAAUACGGAGGGUGCAAGCGUUACUCGGAAUCACUGGGCGUAAAGAGCGCGUAGGCGGGUGGUCAAGUCAGAUGUGAAAUCCUGUAGCUUAACUACAGAACUGCAUUUGAAACUGAUCAUCUA
rnacentral:rRNA from 1 species